UACAAUGUUCAAUUGAUUUCUUUCUCGGCUCUAUUUUGAGAAUGAUUUGCAACGAUACAAAGUCAUUUCCUCAUGGGAUGUUCUUUCAGUUUUUAGCUGAAGUUUGCGCUCUCUCUAUUAACUAAGUAUUCAAUCAGCGCUGCCCUCCUCCCUCUCUAAGCUGGAAAUCUUUCAUUGCCCUAAACUCCAAUCUCUUCCAGUAAAAGGGAUGCGCUCUUCCAUCUCUACGCUAUGGAUUCGCAACUGCCCAUUGCUCAAACCAAGUCUAGAAUUUGGGAAGGGGGAUUACUGGCCAAAAAUUGCUCAAAUUCCCACCAUAAAAGUCGACGAGGAAUAUCUGUAAUGACUAUAACGAGUGGCACUCUGAUAAAUAUUCCUUCUCGACGAAAUUCUCAACAUAAAUCCUUCUGUUAUUUCUGCCGCCUUCAUCUAAUUAACCUCACAUCUCAUACAAAUAUAUGAAUGCAACAAAGUCCUCAUAAACCAACACAAGUAGUUCUUGGAUAGCUCAAGCAGGCGAUCCUGAUAUCUUGACGGACUUCAUUGUUCCUGAAAAUCAAACUGGAGAUACAAUAAGUGGGAAUUUCUUCACCUUCACAGGCAUGCGCGGAAUUUUUGGCAGUGUUAUUACAAGCUUUAAGUCGACAAAAGCUAGCAAAGCUGGACUUUCCAGCUUUGAAUGGACAGUGUACUUCACUUGCUGCCCUUCAGUUCCCUGGCGAUGGUGUCAACCUGCCCCACACUUACCCUCGUGCAUCCGAGCUAUUAUUAGUAGUGCAGGGCAGUCUAGAAGUUGGAUUGUUAGAUAGUAGUAACAAGCUCUAUACUUAGACUCUAAAAGUUUGUGUGCAUUAUCAGUACAAUACUGAUUGGAAUAAAUCAGCUACAGCUGUUUCUGCAUUUGGUAGCGUGAAUGCAGAAAUCGUUUUCACUUCCAACGACUCUGUUUGCUACUGGUAUCGAUGAUCAGAUUCUUGUGAAGCCAUUCAAGACUAAUGUUGCUACCAUUCAAAAUAUCAAGGCUGGUCUGGUCUUUCAUCCUAGACUGCAGAUCAUAAAAUUGCGCCAGUAGAUCCAAUCAUUGAUCCGUCUCAUUCAAAUUUUAUGUAGCCAAGUUUUCAAGAGCCUCACCUCCCCACCAAACAGGCCUUGAAAACCACCAUUAUGGAAAAAGUUGCAAUUUCAUCUUUUUCUUUAUCUGCCUAAGUUUUGAUGGGCACAAUUAUGCGUAACCAAU